rnacentral:rRNA from 1 species
UUUAUGGAGAGUUUGAUCCUGGCUCAGGAUGAACGCUGGCGGCGUGCCUAAUACAUGCAAGUCGAGCGAACGGACGAGAAGCUUGCUUCUCUGAUGUUAGCGGCGGACGGGUGAGUAACACGUGGAUAACCUACCUAUAAGACUGGGAUAACUUCGGGAAACCGGAGCUAAUACCGGAUAAUAUUUUGAACCGCAUGGUUCAAAAGUGAAAGACGGUCUUGCUGUCACUUAUAGAUGGAUCCGCGCUGCAUUAGCUAGUUGGUAAGGUAACGGCUUACCAAGGCAACGAUGCAUAGCCGACCUGAGAGGGUGAUCGGCCACACUGGAACUGAGACACGGUCCAGACUCCUACGGGAGGCAGCAGUAGGGAAUCUUCCGCAAUGGGCGAAAGCCUGACGGAGCAACGCCGCGUGAGUGAUGAAGGUCUUCGGAUCGUAAAACUCUGUUAUUAGGGAAGAACAUAUGUGUAAGUAACUGUGCACAUCUUGACGGUACCUAAUCAGAAAGCCACGGCUAACUACGUGCCAGCAGCCGCGGUAAUACGUAGGUGGCAAGCGUUAUCCGGAAUUAUUGGGCGUAAAGCGCGCGUAGGCGGUUUUUUAAGUCUGAUGUGAAAGCCCACGGCUCAACCGUGGAGGGUCAUUGGAAACUGGAAAACUUGAGUGCAGAAGAGGAAAGUGGAAUUCCAUGUGUAGCGGUGAAAUGCGCAGAGAUAUGGAGGAACACCAGUGGCGAAGGCGACUUCCUGGUCUGUAACUGACGCUGAUGUGCGAAAGCGUGGGGAUCAAACAGGAUUAGAUACCCUGGUAGUCCACGCCGUAAACGAUGAGUGCUAAGUGUUAGGGGGUUUCCGCCCCUUAGUGCUGCAGCUAACGCAUUAAGCACUCCGCCUGGGGAGUACGACCGCAAGGUUGAAACUCAAAGGAAUUGACGGGGACCCGCACAAGCGGUGGAGCAUGUGGUUUAAUUCGAAGCAACGCGAAGAACCUUACCAAAUCUUGACAUCCUUUGACAACUCUAGAGAUAGAGCCUUCCCCUUCGGGGGACAAAGUGACAGGUGGUGCAUGGUUGUCGUCAGCUCGUGUCGUGAGAUGUUGGGUUAAGUCCCGCAACGAGCGCAACCCUUAAGCUUAGUUGCCAUCAUUAAGUUGGGCACUCUAAGUUGACUGCCGGUGACAAACCGGAGGAAGGUGGGGAUGACGUCAAAUCAUCAUGCCCCUUAUGAUUUGGGCUACACACGUGCUACAAUGGACAAUACAAAGGGCAGCGAAACCGCGAGGUCAAGCAAAUCCCAUAAAGUUGUUCUCAGUUCGGAUUGUAGUCUGCAACUCGACUACAUGAAGCUGGAAUCGCUAGUAAUCGUAGAUCAGCAUGCUACGGUGAAUACGUUCCCGGGUCUUGUACACACCGCCCGUCACACCACGAGAGUUUGUAACACCCGAAGCCGGUGGAGUAACCUUUUAGGAGCUAGCCGUCGAAGGUGGGACAAAUGAUUGGGGUGAAGUCGUAACAAGGUAGCCGUAUCGGAAGGUGCGGCUGGAUCACCUCCUUU